CUUUGUGGUGGGCCGUGCGGGCAACCUUCGGGUUGGCCGGUUUUCCUCAUCUUGUCCGGUAUUUGUAACCUCGCACUGCCCGCCUCCCCA
rnacentral:antisense_RNA from 1 species